rnacentral:rRNA from 1 species
GUUCGAUCAUGGCUCAGAUUGAACGCUGGCGGGAUGCUGCAUACAUGCAAGUCGAACGGCAGCGCGGACUUCGGUCUGGUGGCGAGUGGCGAACGGGUGAGUAAUGUAUCGGAACGUGCCUAGAAGGGGAUAACUACGCGAAAGCGUAGCUAAUACCGCAUACACCCUUCGGGGGAAAGCGGGGGACCUUCGGGCCUCGCACUAUUAGAGCGGCCGAUAUCGGAUUAGCUUGUUGGUGGGGUAACGGCUCACCAAGGCGACGAUCCGUAGCUGGUUUGAGGACGACCAGCCACACUGGGACUGAGACACGGCCCAGACUUACGGAGGCAGCAGUGGGGAAUUUGGACAAUGGGGAAAACCCCUGAUCCAGCCAUCCCGCGUGUGCGAUGAAGGCCUCGGGUUGUAAAGCACUUUGCAGGAAAAGAAACGGCACGGAGUACACCCCCGUGCAACUGACGGUACCUGCAGAAUAAGCACCGGCUAACUACGUGCCAGCAGCCGCGGUAAUACGUAGGGGUGCAAGCGUUAAUCGGAAUUACUGGGCGUAAAGCGUGCGCAGGCGGUUCGGAAAGAAAGCGGAUGAAAUCCCAGAGCUUAACUUUGGAACUGCAUUUUUAACUACCGAGCUAGAGGUGUCAGAGGGAGGUGGAAUUCCGCGUGUAGCAGUGAAAUGCGUAGAUAUGCGGAGGAACACCGAUGGCGAAGGCAGCCUCCUGGGAUAACACUGACGCUCAUGCACGAAAGCGUGGGGAGCAAACAGGGAUUAGAUACCCUGGUAGUCCACGCCCUAAACGAUGUCAACUAGCUGUUGGGGCUCUUUCUGGGCUCAGAAGCGCGAAAGAACGCGUGAAGUUGACCGCCUGGGGAGUACGGUCGCAAGAUUAAAACUCAAAGGAAUUGACGGGGACCCGCACAAGCGGUGGAUGAUGUGGAUUAAUUUGAUGCAACGCGAAAACCUUACCUACCCUUGACAUGUCUGGAACAUGUCGUCAGCUCGUGUCGUGAGAUGUUGGGUUAAGUCCCGCAACGAGCGCAACCUGUCAUUAGUUGCUACGAAAGGGCACUCUAAUGAGACUGCCGGUGACAAACCGAGGAAGGUGGGGAUGACGUCAAGUCCUCAUGGCCCUUUAUGGCAGGGGCUUCACACGUCAUACAAUGGUCGGGACAGAGGGGUCGCCAACCCGCGAGGGGGAGCCAAUCCCAGAAACCCGAUCGGGGUCCGAUCGCAGUCUGCAACUCGACUGCGUGAAGUCGGAAUCGCUAGUAAUCGCGGAUCAGCAUGUCGCGGUGAAUACGUUCCCGGGUCUUGUACACCGCCUGUCACACCAUGGGAGUGGGUUUUACCUGCAGGGUGAAGUUAGCUUCCAACCGUAAGGAGGGCGAUUACCACGGUAGGAUUCAUGACUGGGGUGAAGUCGUAACGGUAG